AAAUAGUAGGUAUAGCACUGAAUAUCUCGAGGGAGUAUGAAAAUAUUUAUCUCAGAUAUUUAAUCUCAAAAUAACUAUUUCUUAAAAUAAAUAAUCAGACUAUGUGCAGAUAAGCUAGAUAGU
rnacentral:rRNA from 1 species